CAGCCGCCGCGGGAAUACGGAGGGUGCAAGCGUUAAUCGGAAUUACUGGGCGUAAAGCGCACGCAGGCGGUUUGUUAAGUCAGAUGUGAAAUCCCCGAGCUUAACUUGGGAACUGCAUUUGAAACUGGCAAGCUAGAGUCUUGUAGAGGGGGGUAGAAUUCCAGGUGUAGCGGUGAAAUGCGUAGAGAUCUGGAGGAAUACCGGUGGCGAAGGCGGCCCCCUGGACAAAGACUGACGCUCAGGUGCGAAAGCGUGGGGAGCAAACAGGAUUAGAUACCCCGGUAGUCCCUGUCUCUUAUAC
rnacentral:rRNA from 1 species